rnacentral:tRNA from 1 species
CCACCUGCUGGCCUGGAGCGUGGCCGACGCCGACUACUGGUCGGCGGGACGCUCGUCCAUCACGAGCGAGGUGGUC